GGAGAGGUGCCGGAGCGGCCGAACGGGCACGAUUGGAAAUCGUGUGCCCUGGGCAACCGGGGCCGAGGGUUCGAAUCCCUCCCUCUCCGCCA
rnacentral:tRNA from 1 species